GAAAGAGAACAAAGGGGGGCACAUUUAGCCACUGCCCAACAUCUUUGUGGCACGCUGGUUGGCGUCAUCAAUCCGGGUCUUGUUGGAAUCAGCCU